GCCAGAAAGAAAACAGGACAUUGCGGAGGAAACUACAACUACUGGAACUGAAGGUGUCACGGGAGCGCGCAGAGAGGACAAUGCGAGAGCGCGUCCUCGGCAGUCGUCCCAGAAGUGUCAAGAUCCUCGACCGAUACAGAGSCAUUGUAAGAGGUGAAGGACAUCUCACUGAAGGCCACAGGAGCUUUGUGAAACCAGCAGGACACAGCACAUGGACAGAUGACCAACCAAUCACUGUUGAUGAGGGGAGUGGAACCUCAACCCAGCACGUUAUCGUGAUAGAGUCUGCAGAUGCAGAGG